UUUUUUUUUGAAACGUAUACUUCAUCACAACAUCUAAUAUGACUAUAGUCUCCACAAUAAUAAUUCGGAAUGCCUCCCCAUGUAUUUAGGACAUUAAACCUUUUUCAACAAUCCUUUCCCAUACAUCUUCUUUAGUUUCAAACACUCACUUGUCUUUUCAUCGGGCUUGUAGUAGUUAUUAAAAGGUUUUAUGAGGCUCGUACACUAAGACACUUUGUGUCUUGUUUUUCCACAUUUGUAGCAUUUUUUCUAUGUAAAGUCACAUUCCCUCGGAUGAUUUUGGCCGCGCAUCCUAGCAUUGAAAAGGUUUAGCUCGCGAAUUUGACUUCCUAUAAGAUAUAAAGAACUUGGUCGUCUCAGAAGAACUAAACAACUUUUUUACCUUCUGCAUCUCACCUUGUUCGCCUCAUUUUUUGAUGUUUCAAAAUUAGAAGAAUCCUGAGUAGAC
rnacentral:lncRNA from 1 species